AUACUUAUCUGGCAGGGGAAACAUCCUGAUCACUAAGGUGGUUUUCCCAGGGUGAGGCUCAUGCAUUGCAGUCUGGGUGUGCCAGCCUCCGCGGUUUGCAGUUUGGGGAAACCCAACUGCAUAAUUGGUGGUAGUGGGGGACUGCACUUGCACUCUCCCC